GUCUCAAUAGCUCAGUGACUAAAGCGCUGGCAUGGUAUGCCAGAGACCCCAAGUUCGAGUCCCGGUUGAGACU
rfam:Crassostrea gigas strain 05x7-T-G4-1.051#20 contig27, whole genome shotgun sequence.